rnacentral:rRNA from 1 species
UACGUAGGGACCAAGCGUUGUCCGGAAUCAUUGGGCGUAAAGAGCUCGUAGGCGGCUUGUUGCGUCAGCUGUGAAAACCCGCAGCUCAACUGUGGGCUUGCAGCUGAUACGGGCAGGCUUGAGUUCGGUAGGGGAGACUGGAAUUCCUGGUGUAGCGGUGAAAUGCGCAGAUAUCAGGAGGAACACCGGUGGCGAAGGCGGGUCUCUGGGCCGAUACUGACGCUGAGGAGCGAAAGCGUGGGGAGCGAACAGG